AAGAAUUGAAAGGAAUUCUUUUAAAAUCAUUUGAAUUAACCAGUCUAGAGCAUUAUACAAACAGGGCAAAAGGGGGAGGGAACAGAUAAGCAUAGUAAACUACUCACACACAAGCAACACACUGGAGAAAAUCAAACCUGAUUGCAAAGUAGGAGUUCAGUACCAAAUCCUAACAUAACCAAACAUAGGGAGAGGUUUUAGACUAAUAAAAUAGUUAAGCGGACUUGGACACAUGGUAGUAGACAAAGCAAGGAACAAAACAUGCAUUGAGGUAUGGAAGGGGUAAGGGGAACAUGCCAAGCCAAUCUAUGUAAACUGGUAAGUGUAUACUAAUGACAGCAAGAGCAGCAGAAACAUAGGUAAAAGC
rnacentral:lncRNA from 1 species